UAGCUCUCCCGAAUUCCCGGGAUUCCGUUCAGGGUCGUCUGAUCCCGAGGGAGAGGUGGCGAGGAUAUUAUCUUGCCUCCGUGGGGAUGCUUUUUUGUCGCCCCUCAAGUUGGGUCCACGUUCUGGAUGUUCCAGAUUGGUCAAUCGUUGUUGGACCGUGAUUACAUCGGACCGAAAAAACUGCGUCGCUCUAGUCCGAUUUCAUCAUCGUUGAUAAAAUCGCUCGCCUCUUAUCAGUGCUGAAACCGUUAUUUGUUGUCGAUUUAAGUUUUAUGCGUCUCUUGAAUUCAGUCUCGUAAAUUGAAGUCUUCGUUUUUAACAUUUACUGCGUUUGGUCAAAAAAACUUACCCUCUUUUGUGUAGUUUUUCGCUCACUUUUUCUCUACGUCGUGUUGGUCGAUUUUUUCUUAAUUAAUUUUGUUGAUUAUUUUUCACAGUCGGGUGUUUUCAGAGUCUCUGAGGUGUCUUUUAGCGUGGUCGAGUCAGAGUUUACAAUGAGAACGAUAUUAUUCAAAGUUCAAAGUGUAAUCGAAAGGAUUUUCAUUAAUAAUUAUCUGAGAUAUAAGAAAAUCUGAGAAAUUAUAGUUUAAAAAAUAUCGUGUUGUUGUGCGAUCCUACCUAGUUUAUGAAUGUAAAAUUUGAAAAAACCACUGUUUUUUAAACCUAAAACAAGCAGGAAAAAAACUGUGCCAAAGAUGUGUCGUUCCGGUUUAAAUUUUGAAAUACAAAUUCAUCGUUGCAGUUCUUCAAAACUUUACUUCUUGAAAGCCUUCCUAUUUAACCACCGUUUAUUUCUACAUAAUUCCGAGUUUCGGAAUGUUUGCCACCUUUGGGAUGUGAAACCCUUAGCUGUAAACCCAGCUUUUUUCAAACUUUUCGAUGAUGAUUAGCACUUCACAAACCAAUCGAAUCUCCAAUCUGUGGAAAAUGAGAACGCAGAUUCAUCUCACACGGAAAAAAAUCUUUGGUGCUUACAGCCAGAUAGUAGGUGAGAUUUACCAUCUUGGAUUCCCAGAUUCGACCCCUGAGAACAAUUUUGCUACGAGUACAAAUGUAAGAUGGUUAGAAACCUCAAACCGCAUGAGGUAGGCGUUGACAACAAAGAUGGUAACUCGCACCAUCAACGCUGGGCGGGCGACUCUCAAAGAUGGUAAACUGACCCAUCUGGAUGUUCAGGGCGUCCAUCAUGAAUGCAAGGAGAACCUUCAUAUAUUAUGCCCUAAACCAUCAGGAGGAGUACUUUUUUGUGAAACUUAGAUAGUAC
rnacentral:lncRNA from 1 species